rnacentral:rRNA from 1 species
UACCAGCACCCCGAGUGGUCGGGACGAUUAUUGGGCCUAAAGCGUCCGUAGCCGGCCUUACAAGUCCUCCGUUAAAUCCAGCUGCUUAACAGAUGGGCUGCGGAGGAUACUAUAAGACUAGGAGGCAGGAGAGGCAAGCGGUACUCAGUGGGUAGGGGUAAAAUCCGUUGAUCCAUUGUAGACCACCAGUGGCGAAGGCGGCUUGCCAGAAUGCGCUCGACGGUGAGGGAUGAAAGCUGGGGGAGCGAAUGGG